GAUGAACGCUGGCGGCGUGCCUAAUACAUGCAAGUCGAGCGAACGGACGAGAAGCUUGCUUCUCUGAUGUUAGCGGCGGACGGGUGAGUAACACGUGGAUAACCUACCUAUAAGACUGGGAUAACUUCGGGAAACCGGAGCUAAUACCGGAUAAUAUUUUGGACCGCGUGGUUCAAAAGUGAAAGACGGUCUUGCUGUCACUUAUAGAUGGAUCCGCGCUGCAUUAGCUAGUUGGUAAGGUAACGGCUUACCAAGGCAACGAUGCGUAGCCGACCUGAGAGGGUGAUCGGCCACACUGGAACUGAGACACGGUCCAGACUCCUACGGGAGGCAGCAGUAGGGAAUCUUCCGCAAUGGGCGAAAGCCUGACGGAGCAACGCCGCGUGAGUGAUGAAGGUCUUCGGAUCGUAAAACUCUGUUAUUAGGGAAGAACAUAUGUGUAAGUAACUGUGCACAUCUUGACGGUACCUAAUCAGAAAGCCACGGCUAACUACGUGCCAGCAGCCGCGGUAAUACGUAGGUGGCAAGCGUUAUCCGGAAUUAUUGGGCGUAAAGCGCGCGUAGGCGGUUUUUUAAGUCUGAUGUGAAAGCCCACGGCUCAAUCGUGGAGGGUCAUUGGAAACUGGAAAACUUGAGUGCAGAAGAGGAAAGUGGAAUUCCAUGUGUAGCGGUGAAAUGCGCAGAGAUAUGGAGGAACACCAGUGGCGAAGGCGACUUUCUGGUCUGUAACUGACGCUGAUGUGCGAAAGCGUGGGGAUCAAACAGGAUUAGAUACCCUGGUAGUCCACGCCGUAAACGAUGAGUGCUAAGUGUUAGGGGGUUUCCGCCCCUUAGUGCUGCAGCUAACGCAUUAAGCACUCCGCCUGGGGAGUACGACCGCAAGGUUGAAACUCAAAGGAAUUGACGGGGACCCGCACAAGCGGUGGAGCAUGUGGUUUAAUUCGAAGCAACGCGAAGAACCUUACCAAAUCUUGACAUCCUUUGACAACUCUAGAGAUAGAGCCUUCCCCUUCGGGGGGGCAAAGUGACAGGUGGUGCAUGGUUGUCGUCAGCUCGUGUCGUGAGAUGUUGGGUUAAGCCCCGCAACGAGCGCAACCCUUAAGCUUAGUUGCCAUCAUUAAGUUGGGCACUCUAAGUUGACUGCCGGUGACAAACCGGGGGAAGGUGGGGAUGACGUCAAAUCAUCAUGCCCCUUAUGAUUUGGGCUACACACGUGCUACAAUGGACAAUACAAAGGGCAGCGAAACCGCGAGGUCAAGCAAAUCCCAUAAAGUUGUUCUCAGUUCGGAUUGUAGUCUGCAACUCGGCUACAUGAAGCUGGAAUCGCUAGUAAUCGUAGAUCAGCAUGCUACGGUGAAUACGUUCCCGGGUCU
rnacentral:rRNA from 1 species